AUUGAACGCUGGCGGCAGGCCUAACACAUGCAAGUCGAACGAGCGGCGGACGGGUGAGUAAUGUAUGGGAAACUGCCUGAUGGAGGGGGAUAACUACUGGAAACGGUAGCUAAUACCGCAUACCAUCGGAUGUGCCCAUAUGGGAUUAGCUGGUAGGUGGGGUAAAGGCUCACCUAGGCGACGAUCCCUAGCUGGUCUGAGAGGAUGAUCAGCCACACUGGGACUGAGACACGGCCCAGACUCCUACGGGAGGCAGCAGUGGGGAAUAUUGCACAAUGGGCGCAAGCCUGAUGCAGCCAUGCCGCGUGUAUGAAGAAGGCCUUCGGGUUGUAAAGUACUUUCAGCGGGGAGGCGUUACCCGCAGAAGAAGCACCGGCUAACUCCGUGCCAGCCGCCGCGGUAAUAC
rnacentral:rRNA from 1 species